AGGAGUUUUAAAGAGGGUUUUUUAAUAAAUAUUUAUUGGUGGAAAAUUGGCAUGGAAAUUGGCACGCCAAAAAUUAGCAUAAAAAUUAGCACCCUGAAAAUUGAGAGUAAAAUUGGCAUGCCAAAAUUUAGCACAAAAAUUGGCAUAGAAAUUGUCAUGGAAAUUAGCGUAGAAAUUUAGCACGAAUUGGCAUGGAAUUUUGGCAUGAUAAAAUUGGCAUUGAAAUUGGCACACGGUGAAAUUGGCAUUAAAAUUUGGUGAAUUUGAUAAUCCAUUGGAUCCCUGGAGUGUGACAAAACAGAUCAUAGGAACAUUAUUCUUGCACUGCUUUGAAUUCCUGCCGGAACCUGAAAGACAGAGGUCGACGCCGACAAAUUUUCGGCGGCUUCUAGUCAUGUACACAAAAGCAACAGAGUGGAAGAAAGUUUUCCAUACGAAAUAUUGGACUUGUCGUUACGAAACUUCUCUCAUCUUCAAACGACUUGACCUCUCCUCCACAAACGGGCAUCCCGACUCGUCUGUCGCCAACUCGUCGACCCUCUCCUCGCCUGGUAUCCCGAACUUUGUGACGAAUCAAUCAGUUUUAAACUUUACAGAAAAAGGAUACGCAGCAAACACUUAGUCGUGACUCAUGGAUUUAUCCUAUCCGUUGAAUCGGGCUGAUGGCACAAAGUUUGGAGUUCCACAGUCAAAACGUCCCAAUCCACACAUGACAAUGAUGAUGGAAGAAGAUCCCACACUAAGAAAAACCUUCUAGGAAUCUCAAACUCCAAUUUGAACAUGUUGCUCUUCGAAUACAGAAACAUUGAAGGUGGCCUAAUAUUAAAUUCAGGAGCAUUGAUGUCUUCAGAAUUACCCUCGCUCUUCAAUACGACUAAAACUUGGCAAAUCUAACUUCUCUAGAGAUCUUUGGCUGCAACGAAGACGGUCGAGGAUAUUUGUUUGGAAACGAUGGGGAAUAUGUUUCCAAAUUUGAAAAGGCUGAAAUUGACUAUCCGAUAUUAUCGUGAUUUAUCCUCCUCCACCAUCCGCCAUAUUUUAAGCAAGCGUUCCUGAAGACACCGUAAAACUUUGACCAGUUUUGACCAUUUUUGUACUCCAACCUGACGGAUGAGAACAUUAUGCCUCCAUUUAUUUUCGAUCUCGACCAUUCCAUCCCCGUCGACGUGUUUCAAGAUACGAUGAGUAAGCUGAAGAACGUAGAGUUGCUUCCGGUUUCGCAACGGUGGAAAUUUUGCAGGUCAUGGUUUUGAGUGGAAAUUAGAUUAAAUUCAUCGCUAGAAAUAUGACACAAUUGGUGGAAUGCGGUACUUGCCCCAAGAUAGAGCACAAUUUGAUCGGACCAUUCCAUCGAUCCAGGGAUUUUUCUAAAUCGGUAUAGGGAAAUUACCUAAACUACAAAAAUUGGUUCUCACGAAAAGAUGUUCCUCUCCUGGAAGAGGAUUAGGAAAAUCAUUUCAUACACGCAAGGACUUGACAAUGGCGAUCGCACUACGUGAAGAUCAUGAUUGAAAGAAGGAGACUAUAGAAUUGGAUAGAUUAUAACUUAAAAAUUAGUGCACAAUUGAUUACUU